AGGUGGCUGGCAGGCAUCCGGUUGGUAAUUUCCAUACAUUUACUAGAUUUUAUUAACGCUAACAGUACUACUAUGGCACUAUGGACACUGUGUAUACACCAAAUUUGUAUACACUUUGGAGGCCGUUUUGUCUAUCUCAGAUUGGGGGGAAAUGGCUGCCGCUAAAACACCCUUCACUUAACCCAGCUUUCUUAAAUUCUAGAUUACUAAAGUUCUCAUACUGGUGCAAGAUGCCUUUUGGUUAUAAGGCAGACCAGAAUUCAGCUACGUACAUAAUUUAUUUCUGAAUAGUAGCCCCCAGUAUAAGAGAAUAUUACAAUAUUUGGUAAUCAUUAAUAAGUAAUGCAUUCACACUUUCACUGCUCAUUGUUUGACUAGAACUUUAGAUUCAUGGCUAAAUCUUUCAUAUAAUAUCAAAUAGUUCUUAUUGAGCAAGUGUGAUAAGUCAAAUGGAUGUUUUUACUAUUUUGCUAACACACUUGGGUUAAUAUUAAAAUGCAUGUGUGAGUGCCCCAGUAGAGUUAUGUUCACAGUUAAUUCAUUUGAUUUCAGAUAGUUACAUUUCUGCUUUACAUUUCAUUGAGAGAAAAACGUUGUUUAUUGUCAGGUCUCGAUUGCCACUUGCACUCAACUUGUUCCUCCGUGUAAAUGUUUGAGGAGGUGUUCACUGAGGUGUCCAGGAAAAUGGGAGAAAUUUUAUGAUGAUGAUUUUAUGAUGGUGGUGCUGCUCUUGAUGAGCAGCACCACCACGCUGACGGCAAUUGAGCACCUCAGACGGCUUAAAUAUCACCGCUAAUUAACACAGAGAGGUGGGCUGUCACAGGCAUGAUGGAUGUUCUAGGGUUGGGAAGGGGGUGGGCAGAUCCCUGCUUUCAACCAACCAGUGAUUCCUUUAUUAAUCAAAGCCUGAGAUGAAAAGGCUCUCCCACACCUUGGGGAGAGAGAGAUAGCGAGAGCCAUUGUUGGGAGGGUUUCAAUCAUUCACCGGGAGCCUGUGAUGUAUUUGAUCAGGGGGCAUCCAAACAUUUGUAGGAGACAGAACAUUUCUGCUGCUAAGCGCUUGCUUUUGUAAACCUCUGAACCUUCCACAUGUUUACAGAGCCCAGUAUGCACAGUCAACUGAGAUUUACUGGUUCUUAGGAAAGUUUCUGUUUGGAGGACCUAUUUUUUGUCCCUCCGACAGGAUAGGUGAUCAUGUGGAGAGUUGGCUAUCACUCUUAAACAGCUCUCCUCCCUGAUGGAGUGAGACAGACUAAGCAAAAGGCGGCACCCCUACACUUUACCUCUGGACUGACUCCAUGAACAGGCUGUCUUGCAGAAAUGAUUUUGAACCUAGAUGAUUUCAGCACUUUGUGUAUGAAGAUGGAGUGUUAUCUCCCCCUCUCUGGUCUCCUCCCUAUCUACCUCACUUAAGGAGGUCCAUUGUUAAGUGCCAGGGGCCUGUGGGUGCUGUAAAUCAGGUGGCAGUGGAUGUCUCUCAUGGGGGAAGGCGCACACUGCCAGCAGCCUUCAGGCUGAUCUCAUCCUGCCUAUCUUAAUGCUUUAAUUAAGGAGCUGGUCAAUAGCAAAGAGGAAGGUACUAAAGGGUAUGAUCUGCACCUCCUAAUGUACGACUGAUGUUAUGUCUGUUUGACUACCCAGUUUGACAAAUAGUUCCAAGUACUGGGAUUUAACAUCAGAUCUGGGUCAUCUAUUUCCAACCAACUCCAGGCCAUGAUAUCAGUGAUUGGCUCAGGAAAGACGUGUAUUGGUUAUCUUUAAGCUCCAGAAAACUAGAGAGUUGGCUUUGUACAGUGCAAAUACCAUCAGUUUCCUUACUGUUUCAAGGAAGGUUGUGAACAGACAAUAGCUUAGGAUACACCUCCCUCUUGUGGCUUGGUACGAGGUGUUAGAUCUAUUGUAAUGUGUACUUAUGCUUGUUGAUUAAUUACAAUAUUCCAUAGUAACUAAUUGUUUUAAUUUUUUUAUCAACCAAUCAUGUGAAGCCUUCUUAAAUGUAAGGAUUUGCUUUAUGUCAUUGUAAAUUGAAUAGGUUUGGUUUUGCUGUGACAAUAAUCAGAAAAAAGUUACUCAGUUUUAAGACUCUUCUUGGCUCUGGUUCAAGGACAUUUGUUGUUAUUUCUAAAAAUCAAUUUAGUGUGAGAAGUAGUUAGUAGAUUAAAACCGGCUAAUUUUGCAGCCUUAUCUGAAACAAUAGUAAAUGCCUUCAUCUCAUAAAGUUUACAAUGAUUAUUUGGCUUGUAAUCGUUUCCAUAAAUUGUGAUGUUUUUAGUAGUCUCACUGUAGAUUGAUGAUCUUCUUUGUAUUCAUGCUAAAUGAAUGUGAAAACAGGAUUUGAUUCCCCUUUGGGCCUUGACCUCACUGCAGAGCACUGAACACUGGCCUUUAUACUGUGAUGGACGCCAUCUGCUGACAAGGUUGGUGCAUUACAUGUUUCUGAAACGUUUGCGGUCUUUCUAGUCUGGAGGAUUCAGUAAGUAAUUUGCCAUUUUAAGACAACUAAAUUAAUUUCUUAUUUUAUGUUGAUUCAGUGGAAGUCUGCACAUCCACUUUUGAUAUCUACAAAACAAAUUCUGAAUAUGUGGAUCAUUAAAAAGAAUCACUUUAGACCCACUGGUGGAGAAAAUGUGAGAUACAUCCAUUUGUUUAAAAAGUGUAACAGCUUUAUUGAGACAGUUGGGGCCCUAGAACUCCGUUUACUACAGUAUGAUUGACCAAGUCAAUAUUAGUUUAUCUUCACCCCUGAAAAGACAAAAAAGGUGGGGCUCAGAU